rnacentral:rRNA from 1 species
CAGCAGCCACGGUAAUACGUAGGUGGCAAGCGUUGUCCGGAAUUAUUGGGCGUAAAGGGCUCGCAGGCGGUUUCUUAAGUCUGAUGUGAAAGCCCCCGGCUCAACCGGGGAGGGUCAUUGGAAACUGGGAAACUUGAGUGCAGAAGAGGAGAGUGGAAUUCCACGUGUAGCGGUGAAAUGCGUAGAGAUGUGGAGGAACACCAGUGGCGAAGGCGACUCUCUGGUCCGUAACUGACGCUGAGGAGCGAAAGCGUGGGGAGCGAACAGGAUUAGAUACCCGAGUAGUCCCUGUCUCUUAUAC